UUGAGGUAUGUUGUUGUUUUGUUAAAGUUAGUUAUUGUUUAUGUUAAGGUAAGUUUGUUUUUAUUAGUAUGUUCGUGUUUUUGUUGAGGUAUGUUGUUGUUUUAUUAAGAUAUGUUUAUGUUUUUGUUGAGGUAUGUUAUUUUAUUUUGUUGAGGUAUGUUUUUGUAUUUUUUAGGUAUGUUGUUUGUUUUACUUUAGAUGUUUUUUGUUGAAGUAUAUUGAUGUUUUUGUUGAGGUUUGUUGAUAAUGUUGUGGUUGAG
rnacentral:lncRNA from 1 species